rnacentral:rRNA from 1 species
CCCUUUGGGGUGUGACUGCGUACCUUUUGUAUAAUGGGUCAGCGACUUAUAUUCUGUAGCAAGGUUAACCGAAUAGGGGAGCCGGAGGGAAACCGAGUCUUAACCGGGCGUUAAGUUGCAGGGUAUAGACCCGAAACCCGGUGAUCUAGCCAUGGGCAGGUUGAAGGUUGGGUAACACUAACUGGAGGACCGAACCGACUAAUGUUGAAAAAUUAGCGGAUGACCUGUGGCUGGGGGUGAAAGGCCAAUCAAACCGGGAGAUAGCUGGUUCUCCCCGAAAGCUAUUUAGGUAGCGCCUCGUGAAUUCAUCUCCGGGGGUAGAGCACUGUUUCGGCUAGGGGGCCAUCCCGGCUUACCAACCCGAUGCAAACUGCGAAUACCGGAGAAUGUUAUCACGGGAGACACACGGCGGGUGCUAACGUCCGUCGUGAAGAGGGAAACAACCCAGACCGCCAGCUAAGGUCCCAAAGUCAUGGUUAAGUGGGAAACGAUGUGGGAAGGCCCAGACAGCCAGGAUGUUGGCUUAGAAGCAGCCAUCAUUUAAAGAAAGCGUAAUAGCUCACUGGUCGAGUCGGCCUGCGCGGAAGAUGUAACGGGGCUAAACCAUGCACCGAAGCUGCGGCAGCGACGCUGAUGCGUUGUUGGGUAGGGGAGCGUUCUGUAAGCCUGCGAAGGUGGCCUGUGAGGGUUGCUGGAGGUAUCAGAAGUGCGAAUGCUGACAUAAGUAACGAUAAAGCGGGUGAAAAGCCCGCUCGCCGGAAGACCAAGGGUUCCUGUCCAACGUUAAUCGGGGCAGGGUGAGUCGACCCCUAAGGCGAGGCCGAAAGGCGUAGUCGAUGGGAAACGGGUUAAUAUUCCCGUACUUGGUGUUACUGCGAAGGGGGGACGGAGAAGGCUAUGUUGGCCGGGCGACGGUUGUCCCGGUUUAAGCGUGUAGGUGUGUGUUCCAGGUAAAUCCGGUUCACUUUAACACUGAGGUGUGAUGACGAGGCACUACGGUGCUGAAGCAACAAAUGCCCUGCUUCCAGGAAAAGCCUCUAAGCAUCAGGUAACAUCAAAUCGUACCCCAAACCGACACAGGUGGUCAGGUAGAGAAUACCAAGGCGCUUGAGAGAACUCGGGUGAAGGAACUAGGCAAAAUGGUGCCGUAACUUCGGGAGAAGGCACGCUGACACGUAGGUGAAGUGAUUUACUCAUGGAGCUGAAGUCAGUCGAAGAUACCAGCUGGCUGCAACUGUUUAUUAAAAACACAGCACUGUGCAAACACGAAAGUGGACGUAUACGGUGUGACGCCUGCCCGGUGCCGGAAGGUUAAUUGAUGGGGUCAGCGCAAGCGAAGCUCCUGAUCGAAGCCCCGGUAAACGGCGGCCGUAACUAUAACGGUCCUAAGGUAGCGAAAUUCCUUGUCGGGUAAGUUCCGACCUGCACGAAUGGCGUAAUGAUGGCCAGGCUGUCUCCACCCGAGACUCAGUGAAAUUGAACUCGCUGUGAAGAUGCAGUGUACCCGCGGCAAGACGGAAAGACCCCGUGAACCUUUACUAUAGCUUGACACUGAACAUUGAGCCUUGAUGUGUAGGAUAGGUGGGAGGCUUUGAAGUGUGGACGCCAGUCUGCAUGGAGCCGACCUUGAAAUACCACCCUUUAAUGUUUGAUGUUCUAACGUGGACCCGUGAUCCGGGUUGCGGACAGUGUCUGGUGGGUAGUUUGACUGGGGCGGUCUCCUCCUAAAGAGUAACGGAGGAGCACGAAGGUUGGCUAAUCCUGGUCGGACAUCAGGAGGUUAGUGCAAUGGCAUAAGCCAGCUUGACUGCGAGCGUGACGGCGCGAGCAGGUGCGAAAGCAGGUCAUAGUGAUCCGGUGGUUCUGAAUGGAAGGGCCAUCGCUCAACGGAUAAAAGGUACUCCGGGGAUAACAGGCUGAUACCGCCCAAGAGUUCAUAUCGACGGCGGUGUUUGGCACCUCGAUGUCGGCUCAUCACAUCCUGGGGCUGAAGUAGGUCCCAAGGGUAUGGCUGUUCGCCAUUUAAAGUGGUACGCGAGCUGGGUUUAGAACGUCGUGAGACAGUUCGGUCCCUAUCUGCCGUGGGCGCUGGAGAACUGAGGGGGGCUGCUCCUAGUACGAGAGGACCGGAGUGGACGCAUCACUGGUGUUCGGGUUGUCAUGCCAAUGGCACUGCCCGGUAGCUAAAUGCGGAAGAGAUAAGUGCUGAAAGCAUCUAAGCACGAAACUUGCCCCGAGAUGAGUUCUCCCUGAGACUUAGAGUCUCCUGAAGGAACGUUGAAGACGACGACGUUGAUAGGCCGGGUGUGUAAGCGCAGCGAUGCGUUGAGCUAACCGGUACUAAUGAACCGUGAGGCUUAACCUU